AGUGAACGCUGGCGGUAGGCCUAACACAUGCAAGUCGAACGGCAGCACAGUAAGAGCUUGCUCUUACGGGUGGCGAGUGGCGGACGGGUGAGGAAUACAUCGGAAUCUACUUUUUCGUGGGGGAUAACGUAGGGAAACUUACGCUAAUACCGCAUACGACCUACGGGUGAAACCAGGGGGUCUUCGGACCUUGCGCGAUUGAAUGAGCCGAUGUCGGAUUAGCUAGUUGGCGGGGUAAAGGCCCACCAAGGCGACGAUCCGUAGCUGGUCUGAGAGGAUGAUCAGCCACACUGGAACUGAGACACGGUCCAGACUCCUACGGGAGGCAGCAGUGGGGAAUAUUGGACAAUGGGCGCAAGCCUGAUCCAGCCAUACCGCGUGGGUGAAGAAGGCCUUCGGGUUGUAAAGCCCUUUUGUUGGGAAAGAAAAGCAGCAGGUUAAUACCCCGCUGUUCUGACGGUACCCAAAGAAUAAGCGCCGGCUAACUUCGUG
rnacentral:rRNA from 1 species